UACGUAGGGCGCAAGCGUUUAUCCGGAAUUAUUGGGCGUAAAGAGCUCGUAGGCGGUUUGUCGCGUCUGCCGUGAAAGUCCGGGGCUCAACUCCGGAUCUGCGGUGGGUACGGGCAGACUAGAGUGAUGUAGGGGAGACUGGAAUUCCUGGUGUAGCGGUGAAAUGCGCAGAUAUCAGGAGGAACACCGAUGGCGAAGGCAGGUCUCUGGGCUGUUCCUGACACUGAUGCGCGAGAGCUAGGGGAGCAAACAGG
rnacentral:rRNA from 1 species